UUAGGCCUAUAUAAUAGAAGUUAUGUUAGUCUUACUCGUUACAAAGAAACAAAAUAUAAAUUGAAAUCUUACAAAAUGGCAUGUCACACCAAUCAAUCUUGUUUUUUGAGUGUUUUAUGCCUUGUUUUGAUGGUUAGUUCGGGAUUGGUUACCAGUAUUUUGGUCCCUCCCGGAGGAGUUUGUAUAGGGCCUUGUGUUGCAACGUGUGACCAGGAUUGCUUUCGCAAGGGAUUUGGAAAAGGGGGACAUUGUUUUACUCAUCUUGAGAAGGCAACAUGUUGUUGUUUUCACCAAUGAAUUUUAUUGUAUGAGUUCAAUAAAAAUAAUAAAACGUGCACUUCAGUUUA